GUAGAGACAAAGGAAACACAGAGACAUAGACAUGGAUCUGGGAAAUACACCUUUUGCUACUCGUUCAGUUUUAGCAAGGAGGUUUCUUGCAUGGCUAAGCAAAACUUAAACUUCCUCUGAGAAUUACAGGAAUUACAGGACCUGACAAAGCUAUGAAGAUUAAAGAGAAACAUUUUGCACUGUGCUGGGGGAUUCUACCCACAUAAGUCAGCAUGUUACUUGCUAGAUAAAAGAGCAAUGAAUGGAGUACUUCAACGCCUAAAUACCUGACGUGUGACAGCAAAUGCCUGUUCCCAUGGAGCUGCUGCUUCUGAGAAAGCUUGAAACAGACAAAGAAUAAGGUAGAAAUGACCUCCUCACUAGAGAUGAAAAGAAGCUGUCCUGGUGAGGAAAUUGGAUCCCAGCUUUUGCCGCUAAGAUUCUUCUCUUCUGCCUCUGGUUUUCUUUAUUGUUCACCCCCAGAAGCAAUCGCUCUCUCACAAGGCAACACACGCAAUAGAGUGAACAGUGAUUCUACAGUCUGAUUCUGGAAAAGGCGACCACAGUGGAAAGAGUGAUCCACACAAGUAUAGGGCCUCCUGAUUAAAACACUAAGAUUUCAUCUCACGCUGUGCCUUUAUACUGUUGAGAUACUAAAGAGGACACUAAAGAUCAAAGUGCUACUUUACAACAUUUUGAAGAAAACAACUGCUACCUGUGUAUUAGUUUGUGCAGAUGUGUUACACAGCUUAGCUGUGUCUGUACCAGUUUAUUAGAAUCAAAGUAUUUUUAAAGUACCUAAGGCCAGGCACAGUGGCUCACACCUGUAAUCCCAGCACUUUGGGAGGCUGAGGCAAGUGGAUCACUUGAGAUCAGGAAUUCAAGACCAGCCUGGCCAACAUGGUGAAACCCCAUCUCUACUAAAAAUACAAAAAUUAGCCAGGCAUGGUGUCACAUGCCUGUAAUCCCAGUGACUCAAGAGGCUGAGGUAUGAGAAUCAAUCGUUUGAACUCAGAAGGAGAGGUUGCAGUGAGUGGAGAUAGCAACACUGUACUCCAGCCUGGGUGACAGAGUGAGAUCCAGUCUCAAAAAAAAAAAAAAAAAAAAAAAAA
rnacentral:lncRNA from 1 species